UGCUCUGUGGGGGGAAGGUGUGGGUGGAUCCUUGAAUUUGUAUAUCAAAGCAAUCAGUGCGGUGGGAUGUGCUGCCUCUUCCUCUGUGUCGACGACGACGGGAGACGUGCCCAA
rnacentral:ribozyme from 1 species